GUGGGGAAUAUUGCACAAUGGGCGCAAGCCUGAUGCAGCGACGCCGCGUGAGGGAUGACGGCCUUCGGGUUGUAAACCUCUUUCAGUAGGGAAGAAGCGAAAGUGACGGUACCUGCAGAAGAAGCGCCGGCUAACUACGUGCCAGCAGCCGCGGUAAUACGUAGGGCGCAAGCGUUAUCCGGAAUUAUUGGGCGUAAAGAGCUCGUAGGCGGUUUGUCGCGUCUGCCGUGAAAGUCCGGGGCUCAACUCCGGAUCUGCGGUGGGUACGGGCAGACUAGAGUGAUGUAGGGGAGACUGGAAUUCCUGGUGUAGCGGUGAAAUGCGCAGAUAUCAGGAGGAACACCGAUGGCGAAGGCAGGUCUCUGGGCAUUAACUGACGCUGAGGAGCGAAAGCAUGGGGAGCGAACAGGAUUAGAAACCCCAGUAGUCC
rnacentral:rRNA from 1 species